GAUGAACGCUGGCGGCGUGCCUAAUACAUGCAAGUCGAGCGAACAGACGAGGAGCUUGCUCCUCUGACGUUAGCGGCGGACGGGUGAGUAACACGUGGAUAACCUACCUAUAAGACUGGGAUAACUUCGGGAAACCGGAGCUAAUACCGGAUAAUAUAUUGAACCGCAUGGUUCAAUAGUGAAAGACGGUUUUGCUGUCACUUAUAGAUGGAUCCGCGCCGCAUUAGCUAGUUGGUAAGGUAACGGCUUACCAAGGCAACGAUGCGUAGCCGACCUGAGAGGGGGAUCGGCCACACUGGAACUGAGACACGCACCAGAGGCCUACGGGAGGCAGCAGUAGGGAAUCUUCCGCAAUGGGCGAAAGCCUGACGGAGCAACGCCGCGUGAGUGAUGAAGGUCUUCGGAUCGUAAAACUCUGUUAUUAGGGAAGAACAAAUGUGUAAGUAACUAUGCACGUCUUGACGGUACCUAAUCAGAAAGCCACGGCUAACUACGUG
rnacentral:rRNA from 1 species